GAGUUUGAUCAUGGCUCAGAUUGAACGCUGGCGGCAUGCUUUACACAUGCAAGUCGAACGGCAGCACGGGGUUUACCCUGGUGGCGAGUGGCGAACGGGUGAGGAAUACAUCGGAACGUGUCUAUAAGUGGGGGAUAACGCAUCGAAAGAUGUGCUAAUACCGCAUAAUCUCUCAGGAGAAAAGCAGGGGGAUCGCAAGACCUUGCGCUUUAGGAGCGGCCGAUGCCUGAUUAGCUUGUUGGUAAGGUAAAAGCUUACCAAGGCUUCGAUCAGUAGCUGGUCUGAGAGGACGACCAGCCACACUGGGACUGAGACACGGCCCAGACUCCUACGGGAGGCAGCAGGGGGGAAUUUUGGACAAUGGGGAAACCCUGAUCCAGCCAUGCCGCGUGAGUGAAGAAGGCCUUCGGUUGUAAGCUCUUUCUAGCCGGAACGAAACGGUUACGAUUAAUACUACGUAA
rnacentral:rRNA from 1 species